UUCUGGAGGGCUGGCGUGAAGUUUGCAGGGGUCGGGGUUGGAUUGGGCCGGUCUCGUACCGCUGUGGCCUGUAGGCUCGGUUCCGUCGCGCUCUGCCUCAGGCAGCCCUACUGGGUAGCAGGCCCGAAACCCCGGUGCUUGUUGGGCUUUCAUCUCCUGACGGGGUCCCAGUUUUGGGCUGUGUCUUUCAUGAUCAGUUUCUACGUGGUUUUCAGAGAAUUUCCCUCCACUCGCACACCCCCACUAGUGUAUUACUUUCUCCACGAACCUUGCUCAGGUCUACAGCUCUAGUAAACCUCUC
rnacentral:lncRNA from 1 species